CUGACAAAGCUGAUCGGCGAGCGGCAUGGCAGUGGCGAGGAUUUUGGCAUGAUGGCCUUGCCAUUGGCCUAUGUGCCGGGGAAAAUCAACAUGCAAGACAAUGCGGGGGUAUUGUCGAUGGCAACAAACUGUUGCUAAGACAAGUGAGACGGACUACACUUGUAUUUGAGGGCUAAGGUGUGACGGACUACACCAAAGCAAGAGUGGGCUGCGUACAAGCAAGGCCAAGAUCUUGACGGAACUAGGCGGGCUGGAUGGGAGCUUGACAAGGCUAAACGGGAAAGACCUCGGCGCUAAAGUGAGGCAGCUUAGUGCCAAGGCAGUGGCAUUGGCAAUGUGAUGUUGCCAUGACUUAGGUGAGCGGGUUGGCACCUAAGUUAUUUGUGGACAAACGACUUGGCAAAGGGAAGGGCAUUAAGGCUUGGUGACUUGAUGCUAAAAUCAGCAUUGACAACGGGCAGACUUGAUCAAGUAGGGGCGACUUGACAAUAACAAUCAACUGUGACAGCAGACAGCGUGCGGCAAACAAGUUCGUGGCGAUGUCAAGGAAAUUUAUAGCACAACGCAGCUGGAUAUAAUGGCGUUGGAGCUUGGCACAAUGCAGCUGGAUAUAAUGGCAUUGGGCCGAUCCAAGACUAGACACGAAAUUGGGCAGCAGCUGGCCAAGAAAAUGCGCACAUGUGGUGCACAUGAUGCAGUUGGCGGUUACAACUACCCAUGUCCAGGAGUUGCUGAUUAUAUGGCUAAGUCUUUACACGUUUUUGGAGCAUGUUCUAUCAUGUUCCACACGUUUUGAUCAUGGGGAUCAUGUCCUAUCAGUUGGGGGAUGUCAACUGAAUAUAGGAAACACUUUUGGGCUGACUACACUAUAUAUAUGUGUGUUAGCAGCCUUAAAAACGGGCUAAGUACCUAGGGAGGGAAAAUGUCUGAAAGAUAGACAUAAGGUUGUCUAUUUUAUGGCUUGAGCAUGGCAAAAUAUGUGCCAUUGCCUUGCCAAACGAGUGGCAGCACGAGCGGCCUUAGGCAGGGGCUUUUAUAGGGCAGAUUCGUGCAAGUGUAGGCCAUUUUUGUGAGUUGGUGCCUGCCAAGGGUGGCAGCACCUUGCCUAACUCGAGAAUUUCCUUUGUAAUUGAUUUAUUAUAAAAGGUUGGGAAAGAGUUCCCGUAAAUCUGUGUUGCCUUUGUUUAUUCAUGUUGCCUUAAAUUGAUUCUAAGUGUUAAACCUCGGAAGCGAACGAAAAUUGGGUAAGGCUGAGGUCAAGUGGGGACUUGACUGCCGCACAACGGGCAGCAUUUUCGGCGGACAGAAAACGCCCCUGUGACAAUUGGUAUCAGAGCAAGCCAGGUUGGUUUGGUUUGAUUUGGUUCGUGACGAGGUCGAGAUGGCCAUGGACAAGACUGCAAGGCAGUGGGUUAGUGUUCUUGUUCAUGGAAGGGACUGUCUUGGCUUAGAAAUUCAGAAAAGGCAAGGAAGGCAGUGAUGCAGAAAUUUUGAGUUUGUGGGUGCCAAAAACCAGUGUGGGUUCUUUCAAAUCAGUCAGUUGGCGUGCUGGAUUUGCUGUGGGAACGACGGACAAGAAAUGCAAUGAGAAAACAAAAACGUUGCACUUGAGGGCAAGGACAACGUAAUUCUCAAAGGGGUGCUAAACUUGUGAUGUCUUUGCAAAUGGCAGCAUGUGUUGGGAUCUAUUCGACGAGGGCGUCGAAUUCAACUGGUUGGGGUGGUUUGUUAGACCCCUGCAAAGCUGAUCGGCGAGCGGCACGGCAGUGGCGAGGAUUUUGGCAUGAUGGCCUUGCCAUUGGCCUAUGUGCCGGGGAAAAUCAACAUGCAAGACAAUGCGGGGGUAUUGUCGAUGGCAACAAACUGUUGCUAAGACAAGUGAGACGGACUACACUUGUAUUUGAGGGCUAAGGUGUGACGGACUACACCAAAGCAAGAGUGGGUCGCGUACAAGCAAGGCCAAGACCUUGACGGAACUAGGCGGGC
rnacentral:lncRNA from 1 species